GGUAUCUUAACGUGGGCUUCAGCUGUUAACAGGAUGGAGCCAGGAGGGGAAUGGUGGUCCAGGUCGAGAAGACAAUAGAAAAAGGCAAGGCCAGCAACAACUUGCCUCCCAUCAUUGAUUCACAUAAACCGACUAUAUCAGUUGAUCACUGCUCGUUUGCGCUGAUGUGAUCUCUUCUUAUCUUUGGAUUGAAGAAGAAGCUGAAAACCUACGCCCCGAUGAUGCAUACGGACAAAAUUAAAGAAAAGGUGGAGAAUCCAAUCAAAUCCGCAGUGUCAUUCGAUCGAAGGGGACGCCGACGGGACCCUCGCGGAAGGAAUCCAAGAACCCUAGCUUUAUUUCUCACUGUGCGCUUCUACGCAUCGGAGUAGGGACUGGAAUUAGCUUCAGUCGGAGUUUGUUUAGAGAUUCCAUCAGGAAAUGUUUUACUUCGCAGCAGGAGUGCAAGAAAGACAAGAAACGACCGUGUAAAGGCAAGUUCCUAACCCUCUCCUCAUGUUCUUUAAUUCUCAUGAGAAACUCCGUGGUUUCUCGUAUUUUAUCCCCUCUCUUACUCUAAUUUGACGCCUAACAUUAUUUAUUGAGUUAUUAUCUAUUUAUUUUAAUUUAAAUUAAAUCCGAGACUUAUAAAAUUUUAUUUGUUGUAAACCUACGAGGGUUUGUACCUCUCCCACUCAUUUUGGAAUAAUGUUGAAUCCAACUUGGGAACUAGAUUCUUAGAGGUACGGGUUUAUUUAUGGAUUUCUCGGGUUUAUUUAUGGUUUGAUUAGGGCUAUCGAGCAGUGGGAUAAUGGUCGGCUAUCUGGUGACAUUGGGGUAGACUAUCGUUCGGUUCUGAUAUAGACCGUCGGGCGGACACUCCUAGUCACUAAUCGUUGACCAGUGCCGGACACUGUUGAUUAGCUCUACUAGUAUGUGAUUUAUUACAUGAUUUGAUAUAUUGUAUUAUCGUUCAUGGUUUGAUAUGCACAUGGGUACGAGAUGCAUGUUGGGGUGUUCAUUUAUUGAGUAUGCUUGAUCACGGACAUACUAGCUUGGUUAGUUUGCAUCUGGCACGGGCAUAUGCAUUGCAAAUGGUUUACUAUGUGGGCGGAGCAUGGCCUGAUGCUUGGAUGUAUGGGCACUAGUGUAUCACGUUGAUACUCAUUACGCCAUUGCAUUUUAUGUGCAUUGCAUGGUUACUGGUUGUACUCUGGUCUCGGACGGGAGGAUUGUUCCAAGGGAGCCUAUAGCUCAGUUAUUCAGAGGCUUGGGUAUCGGGAGGACCGACGCGAGCAUUCAGGUGACGGGAGCCUCGACCCGGGACAGCGCGCGCAGGUUUGUGGAGAUAUAUGUUGCCUUUCAGGGCAGCGACAAGUUGAUAUGGGACUUGGGAGCCGUGUGUCUUGUGUGGGCCCUAAGGACUGGAAUGGCAGCGUAGGUCAUGGACAAGGGAGUCAACUUUUAGCGGCAGAGUCAGUAUGAUGUACAGAAUACCUUCUCCCAAAUAAUGGAGUUUCUCUUAAACAAUUACAACCCUUUUUCGCUUCACUUUUUGACCCAGUUCUCCUAGUCUAACAUCUGCUCACUCUCAUGAGCAAAGGCAUGAGUUCUUUUGGAUAACAGUGAACUCCACCAAGACAAGUAACUGGUUCAGAACUACAUCAUGUCAUGUGCCAACCUGCAAGACUCAUCCCUAACUUAUGCGGCCUUAAUUAGCUUGUCUGUCUGGGGGACACUCUUCUCAACUCCCCGAUGCCAUGCCGGCUUAAUACCCAUUCCCAGUCCCAGGCCUUGUCCCUGCUAUACUUCCGGCCUCUCACUUCGUUAAAAGUUCAAACUAGGUGGGUGGAAUAUUAACAGAAAAAUAAAAUUUAAUAUACGCAUCUCUAGUAGACAGGUAUAUAUAAAGCUUCUUAUUCAUGCCAUACCUAUUUAAUUAAAAUAUACCUUUAUAGAUUUUAUUUUAUUUUUUUGACAAGGUUAUGGUAGGAUUUUUGUAGUUAUGAGAGAUUUUGGUGAUUUUUUUCCUUCUCAGAACAUGUUGGUAUAGUCAUAUAAGGUUUAUGUAAAACAUAGUUAUGUUUCUGCUUUACAUUUUAUAUUAAGUUGGAAUUUUAAUUUCCUCUCAAGUUUUGUUUUGUUACAUAAAUGGAAAAGUUAACCAAAGUUGUUUAUUACAAUAAAAUGACAAUUUGAACUUCAUCCUUAAAAAAAAAAAAAAAAAAUUAAAAUGUCCCAUUAAAGUGAGUACGUGAGACUGCUUAUAUUUUGAAAAGUGUAAUUGUCACAUCAUUUCAGCAAUGAUAGGUUUAUUAAUAGGAUGAAUUUUCCUUGUACAAUUCCUAUUAGAUAUAUAUAUAUAUAUAUAUUGCAUAAAACACUAUUGCUAUAGCUAGCCGUGACUGUGUCUUGUUUGGUAGGUUCAACGCGUGUUUCUCCCAUUGUCCAAAGUUCUUUAUAAUUAUAAAAUGGAAUGUUAUAUUAUUUUAACAAUAAUAUUUUCAAAAGAGAAUACUCUUCGAGAAGCUGGUGUGUCCACGUCCUGUUUCCUUGGAUUUUCCCUUUCCCUUCACUUACGUAUGAAACCUUUGCUUGCAAUUGCUAGCUGCUACUGUUACUGCCCGUAUAGCGUAUGUUAUGUGUUUGUGUACCUUAAUUUUGGACCCAUCCAUUAGCGGGGAACGUUUGGAUAAUGAGCGCGCGCUUGCCUGCCUGGUGGUGUUUGGAUUGUAGUUAGUUAGCAAACGAGUAUGGGUUUCUUCCUCUCCUCUGCGCUGCAUGCGAAACUUCCAUACUCCUCCCUAGCUAGAUUGUCCCCGUCAAUGGCUGCCUCAAAACUUCUCUUAUUUACCUCCCAACCCUCUGCUACGCCAAAUAGAGUACGAGAUACUAACAGCUAGCCAACACGUACGUAGUCGAUCGAGGCACCGCAUGCUGAUAACUGAAAGAACCCUGGAAGUGACAUACAGUAGUAUAGGCAUCGUGACAACAUAUUGUGUAUAUAUAUAUAUAUAUACACACACACACGGAGGGAUUACGUACGUACGUUACACAUAGCUUUAACUUAAUUGGGUCCUCUUUCAUUGCUCGUCUUCUUCGAUCAUGAUAGUACGAUACGUACACUGUAGGUUCCUACCUUCCCAAUCAGUGCUGAAAUGCAUAUACGGCAGAUAAGAGCCAAAGCUAGCUGCCGGCUCUCAUGUGUUAAGAUAAUUAAGAGAGCCACACGCACCACACACCAGCUCAUGACGGUCGGAACUUGGAUCAAUAAGCAAGCAGUAGUGAUCCACAAGCUGCCCAUAACCAGCCUUUUGGGUAAACGACACACGGCUAAGAUUCUAUGGAGAUGCCCUUCACGACUUAUGCGUACUAUCAACAGUCCUAUUCUUUAGUUAUGACUUAUUUGUAGAUUUCAUUUUCAGAACUGAUGAUACACAUGCCGGAACUUCAACUAGCUGAUGUGAACAGUGAUAUUAAUUGGCUCUGCGGGUCUAAAUAUACUUCAGUGCAGCUUUCUGAUAAGCUCUUAUUAUCAUUAUGGAUCUGAAAUCCGAAAGUGAAGUGCUCAUUCAUCAUUUGUUUUUCGAGCUGGAGUGCAUGAAUUGACAAGUAGUUAAUGAUGAAAACUUCAACAAUUUCUGUGUUCACAUAAUCCUUCACAUGUGAAA